rnacentral:rRNA from 1 species
AGUGAACGCUGGCGGUAGGCCUAACACAUGCAAGUCGAACGGCAGCACAGUAAGAGCUUGCUCUUACGGGUGGCGAGUGGCUGACGGGUGAGGAAUACAUCGGAAUCUACUUUUUCGUGGGGGAUAACGUAGGGAAACUUACGCUAAUACCGCAUACGACCUACGGGUGAAAGCAGGGGAUCUUCGGACCUUGCGCGAUUGAAUGAGCCGAUGUCGGAUUAGCUAGUUGGCGGGGUAAAGGCCCACCAAGGCGACGAUCCGUAGCUGGUCUGAGAGGAUGAUCAGCCACACUGGAACUGAGACACGGUCCAGACUCCUACGGGAGGCAGCAGUGGGGAAUAUUGGACAAUGGGCGCAAGCCUGAUCCAGCCAUACCGCGUGGGUGAAGAAGGCCUUCGGGUUGUAAAGCCCUUUUGUUGGGAAAGAAAAGCAGCAGGUUAAUACCCCGCUGUCCUGACGGUACCCAAAGAAUAAGCACCGGCUAACUUCGUG